rnacentral:rRNA from 1 species
AUUGAAUGCUGGCGGCAGGCCUAACACAUGCGAGUCGAGCGGAUGAAGGGAGCUUGCUCCUGGAUUCAGCGGCGGACGGGUGAGUAAUGCCUAGGAAUCUGCCUGGUAGUGGGGGAUAACGUCCGGAAACGGGCGCUAAUACCGCAUACGUCCUGAGGGAGAAAGUGGGGGAUCUUCGGACCUCACGCUAUCAGAUGAGCCUAGGUCGGAUUAGCUAGUUGGUGGGGUAAAGGCCUACCAAGGCGACGAUCCGUAACUGGUCUGAGAGGAUGAUCAGUCACACUGGAACUGAGACACGGUCCAGACUCCUACGGGAGGCAGCAGUGGGGAAUAUUGGACAAUGGGCGAAAGCCUGAUCCAGCCAUGCCGCGUGUGUGAAGAAGGUCCUCGGAUUGUAAAGCACUUUAAGUUGGGAGGAAGGGCAGUAAGUUAAUACCUUGCUGUUUUGACGUUACCAACAGAAUAAGCACCGGCUAACUUCGUG